rnacentral:lncRNA from 1 species
AGUUCACCUUAUUGUACUACAUCAGUUUGUCAGUAGCAACAAAUGCAUGACUAAAGUUGGGUACCUCAUCAGAUUAGAGAAGAGUGCUCAAGCAGAGAAUGAUGAAAUGUCUUAAAUGACAUUGUGUAUCACCGGACAGACCACGCACAGGACUCAACAUUAAUGGACAGUAUGCUCUUUCUGCCAUCAGGAAUGGCAUAACUCUCCAGAAGACAGGGCAUUGUGAACAUGAACAAGCUAAUCUGAUGUGACAGAUCUACAAAGGAGUUCAGCAAGAAGUCAAUGAAGAAAAAAGCCCGUUAUUAAAGAGAGAAGCUGACAAAAAAUAAAAAACAGAAAACAAAAAGCAAAGCACAACAAUAACAAAAAGCCAUUAUAUGAAACAACUCAUCUACUUGAGUGAGAUUUCUUUCAUGGAGCCUCUGAACAUUGCUUUUCCUGGUGUAAUAAAUUAGGUGUGUACUUAUUACUUGGAAGUGUUCCUUAUUCCUACGUUUCUUCUGAUAAAAGAAGAGAAACCUUAAAGAAACAGCUGCAAAUGGAAUAAAUUAGGAAUGAGUUUCAGAAAUUUCUGGAGUUGCCCUCAUGAACUAGAGUGGAAGUCCUAUUCCCAUUGUUUUAUUAAGGUAUGCAGGAAAACCACCUACGUUUAAUAAAGAAGACAUGGGAGUGCUAAAUUUGUCCCAGAUUUGAUUACAGAUCACCAUGAUAUUAAAUGUCAAAGGGACUUUGAUGAAAUUCUUUCAAAAGACUAUUGAGCAAUAUAUUUUUCUUCACAUUAGUGUAUACUUCUCUUUUACUAGGAAAUAUGUAUGUAUACCAUUGCUCUGAUUAUAUGCACGCAUAGAUGAACUCUUGUAUCUAUGCAUUUAUUUCCAGCAAAAUGUUCUAAAAUCUUUGUUUGACAGAAACCCUUAAAAUCCAUGAAUUUAUGUCAGUGUUAAUGUUGUAUGAGAACAACCCAUUGUUUGGCUACUAGCUUACGUAAGUUGUAGCUGUCCACAACUUUUUUGUGUGUUGUGGGUUGUUUCACUUUUAAACAAUAGCUCUGUGUCUAACAGUGUGUUCCUUAAGCUAGAACAUUGCUUUAUAGCCCUUGGAACCCGUCAGAUGUAUCUUAGUUCAGAAGUAUUUCAACAUUUUCUUGUGGUAGUGGAUAUACUAAGGAAUGGAAAAUGUAGAAACAUAACUUGUGCCAUCCUAUUUUGGAGUUCAAUUUCUUGCAGGCAGAAAGAGAACUUGUGACGAGCUGAUUUUUUGAAAAGUUGUUCACAAACAUUAAUCUUCUCAUUUAUGAGUGAAACUUCCAGCAAGAGGAAGAUAAUAUCUCCCUUAAUCAAAUUUGCAUAUGACUCAAUGUAUUAAAUGUGUAGAGUUAUUUAAAACGGACAAAAAUAUUUUUCAUGAGUUUCAUUUAUGAAUUACAGUCCUGAAAAUCAUGUUGGUGAUUACUAAGAGCAUAUUUACAGGAUUUACUAUAUGAAUGUAGGAAAAUAAAUAAGGUUUGUUGUAUGGUACAGAUAAAUAAAUAUAUUCUAAUAAGC